rnacentral:rRNA from 1 species
UUGCAUGGCUGUCGUCAGCUCGUGUCGUGAGAUGUUCGGUUAAGUCCGCUAACGAGCGCAACCCUCGCCGUAUGUUACAAGUGUCAUACGGGACUGCCGGUAAAAAAGCCGGAGGAAGGUGAGGAUGAUGUCAAGUCAGCAUGACCUUUAUAUCCAGGGCUACACACACGCUACAAUGGUCUGUACAAUUGGUUGCCAAGCCGCGAGGCGGAGCCAAUCCGUAAAGCAGGCCUCAGUUCAGAUUGCAGUCUGCAACUCGACUGCAUGAAGCCGGAGUUGCUAGUAACCGCAGGUCAGCAAUACUGCGGUGAAUACGUUCCCGGGUCUU